UACGUAGGGUGCGAGCGUUAAUCGGAAUUACUGGGCGUAAAGCGUGCGCAGGCGGUUUUGUAAGACAGGCGUGAAAUCCCCGGGCUCAACCUGGGAAUGGCGCUUGUGACUGCAAGGCUGGAGUGCGGCAGAGGGGGAUGGAAUUCCGCGUGUAGCAGUGAAAUGCGUAGAUAUGCGGAGGAACACCGAUGGCGAAGGCAAUCCCCUGGGCCUGCACUGACGAUCAUGCACGAAAGCGUGGGGAGCAAACAGG
rnacentral:rRNA from 1 species